UCCAUCUCCUCGCUGUCUCGCCCGAUGGAGAGAGAGAGAGAGCUCGCCUCGUCCCUUCCAGAUCACCGCCACCACCUCCCUCCAGCGGAGCUCGUCGCCGUACAUGGCCUCCCCCAUGCCCUACCCCUCUCGCCCCUCCCCUUCCCCCACCCAACCAAACCAACCAGCCCACCCGGCACCCUUCCUCCUCCAAGAAAGCAAAGCCAUGCCCUCUGACGGGGGAUGAGAUCUGCGCCUGCGGGGAAUUUAUUGGCUCUCUCCACCGGCGAGGCUUGGGGAGGCCGGCGUUCCCUGUCGAGACCCGUCGCGCACGUCCUCCAGCGCCACCCGCAGCACGUCGAGUACACCACCACCCUGGAGCGCCUCGGCCUGGCCGACCUCUCGUCCCCGCACCCCCGGGCGCGUGCCGCCGCCAUGGGCAUCAUGCCCCUCCAAGUCCAAGCAGCGGGCGGCGCCGAGGAAACGAUGCAAUGGCUCUCCCCAACACCCCUCCCGUGGACUACCCCAGUUUCAAGCUCGUCCUCGUCCGCGACGGCGACACCGGCAAGACGAUGUUCAUGUAGAGGCAUAUCACCGGGGAGUUCGAGAAGAAGUACGAACCGACGAUCGGUGUGGAGGUGCGGUCGCUGGACUUCCAGAUGAGCCACGGCAAGAUCAGGUUCUACUGCUGGGACACAGCCGGACAGGAGAAGUUCGGUGGCCUCCGUGACGGAUACUAGUGAUCAUUGGUGCUGUUGCUGCCGCUGUGCAAGUCGGAGGUGUCGCUGCUACAUUUGGUGGAGCUAGUGCUGCCGCUCCAAAGGACUUUACCCCUUGCUAGAUCCUUCGGUGGAGGUGACCCAUGUGAUGGUGAUUCGCUCCAGCAGUUCCGGUUCCGGCAAUGGUGGUGCUACACUGCUACUGCUCCUAUGAUGGCUACGCAUUGGUAGGCUCGGCUGCCUCCCUUGGCUGUCGCUGGAUCAGCCUAGUCUACAACCACUUCCGAUGACUCAGGUCCCCUUCUACCUCUCCUACUCUCUCCAUGAUUCUUUUCUUUGCCUUUAUGAGGUGUAAUUGUUUAAUUUUUGUCAUAGUUGAGCAUUGGAUGAUAUAUUGUAUCUGUCAUGAGGUACAUGGUUCAUGGAUAUGCCAACCUGCAGCUUGUUGUCCAUACAUAUUCCCGCAUGUUAGUGUCUCCCCGUGUAAGUACGAAUUCUGGUGAUGCCUUCAUCUAUGAUGAUGCUCUGCCUUUCGCAUUCAUUCAUUCUCUGAUAGUUCUAGGAGUCCUCAUAUUUAUUUGAAAAUCUGUGCAAAUGUACAUCAUUCUAGAGAAGCAUCCCCAUACCAGCACAUGUAUUUGAAAAAUCUAUUCAAAUCUCCUCACUUCAUAUGUUGCUAAGAGAUGAUGUAACUCCAAAGUAGACAAUUAAAACAUAUUAGUAAAAUCAGUAUGCAUCCCUAGUGAUGCUUUAUCUUGUUUUUUUAGUCCAUGAGUGAUGUGUUGGAGCAUCACUGACUACUAUGGUUUUUUUCCAAGGUCUAUACAAGUGUCAUCUUUGUCUGGCAAUAUCUGCCUCCUGUGUCGUGUCAUGUAUCUAUUUCACUUUAGAUGUUUUAAGUGAAUGAUGUAUUACUUGCGAGUGUCGAUGUACUGAUGCAAACAGUGCUUGUGUACUUGUGACUAAUCGGUUUUCCCUCUCAUUUAUAGGAGUUCCUCGGCCAAAGAAAUUCGAAGAAGCUCAAAGCCCCAGUCAAAGGCUCGCUUUAUAUAUUAUUGAACUUGUAAUGCAGAAUUUGCUUGGAAUUUUGACGUAAUGCUGAUCUUGCUAGGAAUUGGGUGUAUAUUUACUUGUUGUACUUGUUAUUUAAUGUUCGGUGUACUUGUUAUUCAAAUGCUGGGAAUUUGUAUUUGUGCUAAAUGUAUUUAGUUGGAUGUGAACAUAAUACUGAAAGAGUCCUUGGCCCAAA